GUAGUCAUAUGCUUGUCUCAAAGAUUAAGCCAUGCAUGUCUAAGUAUAAGCAAUUAUACCGCGAAACUGCGAAUGGCUCAUUAAAUCAGUUAUCGUUUAUUUGAUAAUUCCUUUCUACUUGGAUUAACCGUGGUAAUUUCUAGAGCUAAUACAUGCUGAAAAUCCCCGACUUCGGAAGGGGUGUAUUUAUUAGAUAAAAACCCAAUGUCCUUCGGGGCUCUCUGGUGAUUCAUAAUAACUUCUCGAAUCGCACGGCCUUGCGCCGGCGAUGGUUCAUUCAAAUUUCUGCCCUAUCAACUUUCGACGGCUGGGUCUUGGCCAGCCGUGGUGACAACGGGUAACGGAGGGAUAGGGCUCGACCCCGGAGAAGGAGCCUGAGAAACGGCUACUACAUCCAAGGAAGGCAGCAGGCGCGCAAAUUACCCAAUCCCGACACGGGGAGGUAGUGACAAUAAAUACUGAUACAGGGCUCUUUCGCGUCUUGUAAUUGGAAUGAGUACAAUUUAAAUCCCUUAACGAGGAACAAUUGGAGGGCAAGUCUGGUGCCAGCAGCC
rnacentral:rRNA from 1 species